GGUUAAGUUAGAAAGGGCGCACGGUGGAUGCCUUGACACUAGGAGUCGAUGAAGGACGGGACUAACGCCGAUAUGCUUCGGGGAGCUGUAAGUAAGCUUUGAUCCGAAGAUUUCCGAAUGGGGAAACCCACCAUACGUAAUGGUAUGGUAUCCUUAUCUGAAUACAUAGGGUAAGGAAGACAGACCCAGGGAACUGAAACAUCUAAGUACCUGGAGGAAGAGAAAGCAAAUGCGAUUUCCUGAGUAGCGGCGAGCGAAACGGAACAUAGCCCAAACCAAGAGGCUUGCCUCUUGGGGUUGUAGGACAUUCUAUACGGAGUUACAAAGGAACGAGGUAGACGAAGCGACCUGGAAAGGUCCGUCGUAGAGGGUAACAACCCCGUAGUCGAAACUUCGUUCUCUCUUGAAUGUAUCCUGAGUACGGCGGAACACGUGAAAUUCCGUCGGAAUCUGGGAGGACCAUCUCCCAAGGCUAAAUACUCCCUAGUGAUCGAUAGUGAACCAGUACCGUGAGGGAAAGGUGAAAAGCACCCCGGAAGGGGAGUGAAAGAGAUCCUGAAACCGUGUGCCUACAAAUAGUCAGAGCCCGUUAACGGGUGAUGGCGUGCCUUUUGUAGAAUGAACCGGCGAGUUACGAUCCCGUGCGAGGUUAAGCUGAAGAGGCGGAGCCGCAGCGAAAGCGAGUCUGAAUAGGGCGUUUAGUACGUGGUCGUAGACCCGAAACCAGGUGAUCUACCCAUGUCCAGGGUGAAGUUCAGGUAACACUGAAUGGAGGCCCGAACCCACGCACGUUGAAAAGUGCGGGGAUGAGGUGUGGGUAGCGGAGAAAUUCCAAUCGAACCUGGAGAUAGCUGGUUCUCCCCGAAAUAGCUUUAGGGCUAGCCUUAAGUGUAAGAGUCUUGGAGGUAGAGCACUGAUUGGACUAGGGGUCCUCAUCGGAUUACCGAAUUCAGUCAAACUCCGAAUGCCAAUGACUUAUCCUUAGGAGUCAGACUGCGAGUGAUAAGAUCCGUAGUCAAAAGGGAAACAGCCCAGACCGCCAGCUAAGGUCCCAAAGUGUGUAUUAAGUGGAAAAGGAUGUGGAGUUGCUUAGACAACUAGGAUGUUGGCUUAGAAGCAGCCACCAUUUAAAGAGUGCGUAAUAGCUCACUAGUCGAGUGACUCUGCGCCGAAAAUGUACCGGGGCUAAAUACACCACCGAAGCUGCGGAUUGAUACCGAAUGGUAUCAGUGGUAGGGGAGCGUUCUAAGGACAGUGAAGUCAGACCGGAAGGACUGGUGGAGUGCUUAGAAGUGAGAAUGCCGGUAUGAGUAGCGAAAGACGGGUGAGAAUCCCGUCCACCGAAUGCCUAAGGUUUCCUGAGGAAGGCUCGUCCGCUCAGGGUUAGUCAGGACCUAAGCCGAGGCCGACAGGCGUAGGCGAUGGACAACAGGUUGAUAUUCCUGUACCACCUCUUUAUCGUUUGAGCAAUGGAGGGACGCAGAAGGAUAGAAGAAGCGUGCGAUUGGUUGUGCACGUCCAAGCAGUUAGGCUGAUAAGUAGGCAAAUCCGCUUAUCGUGAAGGCUGAGCUGUGAUGGGGAAGCUCCUUAUGGAGCGAAGUCUUUGAUUCCCCGCUGCCAAGAAAAGCUUCUAGCGAGAUAAAAGGUGCCUGUACCGCAAACCGACACAGGUAGGCGAGGAGAGAAUCCUAAGGUGUGCGAGAGAACUCUGGUUAAGGAACUCGGCAAAAUGACCCCGUAACUUCGGGAGAAGGGGUGCUUUCUUAACGGAAAGCCGCAGUGAAUAGGCCCAAGCGACUGUUUAGCAAAAACACAGCUCUCUGCGAAGCCGUAAGGCGAAGUAUAGGGGGUGACACCUGCCCGGUGCUGGAAGGUUAAGGAGAGGGGUUAGCGUAAGCGAAGCUCUGAACUGAAGCCCCAGUAAACGGCGGCCGUAACUAUAACGGUCCUAAGGUAGCGAAAUUCCUUGUCGGGUAAGUUCCGACCCGCACGAAAGGUGUAACGAUUUGGGCACUGUCUCAACCAGAGACUCGGUGAAAUUAUAGUACCUGUGAAGAUGCAGGUUACCCGCGACAGGACGGAAAGACCCCGUGGAGCUUUACUGUAGCCUGAUAUUGAAUUUUGGUACAGUUUGUACAGGAUAGGCGGGAGCCUUUGAAACCGGAGCGCUAGCUUCGGUGGAGGCGCUGGUGGGAUACCGCCCUGACUGUAUUGAAAUUCUAACCUACGGGUCUUAUCGACCCGGGAGACAGUGUCAGGUGGGCAGUUUGACUGGGGCGGUCGCCUCCUAAAGUGUAACGGAGGCGCCCAAAGGUUCCCUCAGAAUGGUUGGAAAUCAUUCGUAGAGUGCAAAGGCAUAAGGGAGCUUGACUGCGAGACCUACAAGUCGAGCAGGGACGAAAGUCGGGCUUAGUGAUCCGGUGGUUCCGCAUGGAAGGGCCAUCGCUCAACGGAUAAAAGCUACCCCGGGGAUAACAGGCUUAUCUCCCCCAAGAGUCCACAUCGACGGGGAGGUUUGGCACCUCGAUGUCGGCUCAUCGCAUCCUGGGGCUGUAGUCGGUCCCAAGGGUUGGGCUGUUCGCCCAUUAAAGCGGUACGCGAGCUGGGUUCAGAACGUCGUGAGACAGUUCGGUCCCUAUCCGUCGUGGGCGUAGGAAAUUUGAGAGGAGCUGUCCUUAGUACGAGAGGACCGGGAUGGACGCACCGCUGGUGUACCAGUUGUUCUGCCAAGGGCAUAGCUGGGUAGCUAUGUGCGGAAGGGAUAAGUGCUGAAAGCAUCUAAGCAUGAAGCCUCCCUCAAGAUGAGAUUUCCCAUAGCGUAAGCUAGUAAGAUCCCUGAAAGAUGAUCAGGUUGAUAGGUUCGAGGUGGAAGCAUGGUGACAUGUGGAGCUGACGAAUACUAAUAGAUCGAGGACUUAACCAU
rnacentral:rRNA from 1 species